rnacentral:rRNA from 1 species
AUUGAACGCUGGCGGAAUGCUUUACACAUGCAAGUCGAACGGCAGCACGGACUUCGGUCUGGUGGCGAGUGGCGAACGGGUGAGUAAUGUAUCGGAACGUGCCCAGUCGUGGGGGAUAACGUAGUGAAAAUUACGCUAAUACCGCAUACGAUCUAUGGAUGAAAGCGGGGGAUCGCAAGACCUCGCGCGAUUGGAGCGGCCGAAAUCAGAUUAGGUAGUUGGUGGGGUAAAGGCCCACCAAGCCAACGAUCUUUAGCUGGUCUGAGAGGACGACCAGCCACACUCGAACUGAGACACGGUCCAGACUCCUACGGGAGGCAGCAGUGGGGAAUUUUGGACAAUGGGCGACAGCCUGAUCCAGCCAUUCCGCGUGCAGGAUGAAGGCCCUCGGGUUGUAAACUGCUUUUGUACAGAACGAAAAGGUUUCUACUAAUACUAGGAGCUCAUGACGGUACUGUAAGAAUAAGCACCGGCUAACUACGUGCCAGCCGCCGCCGUAA